rnacentral:rRNA from 1 species
UACCCGGGUAGUCCAGGGUGUAAACGCUGCAGACUUGGUGUUGGAGGCCCUUUGGGGGCAUUCAGUGCCGGAGAGAAGUUGUUAAGUCUGCUACUUGGGGAGUACGUCCCGCAAGGAUGAAACUUAAAGGAAUUGGCGGGGGAGCACCGCAACGGGAGGAGCGUGCGGUUUAAUUGGAUUCAACACCGUAAACUCACCAGGGAAGACUGUUACAUGAAGGCCGAGAUGAAGACUCUGCUAGAUUUUUCAG